CCCAAAUGGUAGAUGAAAUCCAAGUGGCUCACCUCUUACCAUUGCAUGUGACAGAGUGACUUUGCCAGGUAACCCAACUAUUAAAAAUGGCCCAAAGACUUGGAAAUGAAGGAGUUCGCUUUUUGGGAGCCAGGCCAUUUGAAGACCAACAAAGUCCAGUGUGGACAAGAAAGGAAGAUUAGAACCUGUUGCUGUGUUUGUGGUUUUGCUGAUCUGCCCCAUUUUGGGAAAGGAUAUUUAUUACUGAAAAAGACAACUGAGAAUAUUUUUCGAAAGGAACCUAUGAAGACAUGGGCACAGAUGGGCUCGGUGACCUCACCAACGUGUUGUAUCUGCAAUAGUCAGCAGGUUUGGAUUGCUGCGUGCAUGUGCAUCUAGCAGAUAACUCCUCAGUCCUCUGUCUCCUGGGCUGGGAGCCUUGUCGUGAAGUGGAAUGAAGUGGAAAAGUGGAACUGGCCAUUCGAAUCCAUUCUGGCGUUGCUGGGCUCUUCACUGUGAAGUCCUCAGCUAUGUCCCUUUCUCUGCGUGCUGCGGCCACAGCAUCAGUGAUGGCGAAGAACACAGAUGACCCCAAGAACAUCCCAGAUUCCC